rnacentral:lncRNA from 1 species
UUUUUGAAUUUAUAUGGAGUUCAGUGAUCCAAAAUAGACUUUGUCAGCUGGUAGGGGUAGAGGAUAUGAAAAGAAAAACAGAGGUAAUAUCCUUCAAGGGUUGGCCGGGUGGCAAUUGACUUGAGCCUUGGGGUAUGCUCCCUUUCAAGGUCUCAAGUUCGAAACCCACUGGGUGCAAACAAUUUCUAAGGGCCAUCGGACUGGGUAAAAACUUGAUUUAACCGUGCUGCACUUGCGGGAAAAUCCUUGCCGAGGGCCCGUGCAUCCCCGGAAUUGGUCGGAAGGGCCAUCGGACUAGGUAAAACCUGAAUUAACCGUAGUGCACUUGCGGGAAACUCCUUGCCGAGGGCUUGUGCACCCUCGGGAUUAGUCGGGGCUCAUAGAGACUCGGACACUCGGUCAAAUCAAAGAAAAACAGAGGUAAUACUGGAAGACUAUUCCUUACUCUGUAGAUUGGACAAUGUAGAAAGAAACCAUAGACGCUUUGUGAGGAAAAUGAAUGUAUCUCUUAUAUAAAGUUAAGAUAUCCUUCACAAUUUGUACUUUUGGUGUAAGAAGAAUGUUCAGACUCC